GGCCUAACACAUGCAAGUCGAGCGGAUGAGGGAAGCUUGCUUCCCGAUUUAGCGGCGGACGGGUGAGUAAUGCCUAGGAAUCUGCCUAUUAGUGGGGGAUAACGUUCCGAAAGGAACGCUAAUACCGCAUACGUCCUACGGGAGAAAGUGGGGGAUCUUCGGACCUCACGCUAAUAGAUGAGCCUAGGUCGGAUUAGCUAGUUGGUGGGGUAACGGCUCACCAAGGCGACGAUCCGUAGCUGGUCUGAGAGGAUGAUCAGCCACACUGGAACUGAGACACGGUCCAGACUCCUACGGGAGGCAGCAGUGGGGAAUAUUGGACAAUGGGCGAAAGCCUGAUCCAGCCAUGCCGCGUGUGUGAAGAAGGUCUUCGGAUUGUAAAGCACUUUAAGUUGGGAGGAAGGGUUGUAAGCUAAUAUCUUGCAGCUUUGACGUUACCAACAGAAUAAGCACCGGCUAACUCUGUGCCAGCAGCCGCGGUAAUACAGAGGGUGCAAGCGUUAAUCGGAAUUACUGGGCGUAAAGCGCGCGUAGGCGGCUUAGUAAGUUGGAUGUGAAAGCCCCGGGCUCAACCUGGGAACUGCAUCCAAAACUGCUUGGCUAGAGUACAGUAGAGGGUGGUGGAAUUUCCUGUGUAGCGGUGAAAUGCGUAGAGAUCUGGAGGAAUACCGGUGGCGAAGGCGGCCCCCUGGACAAAGACUGACGC
rnacentral:rRNA from 1 species